rnacentral:rRNA from 1 species
AUUCUUGGUCAUUUAGAGGAAGUAAAAGUCGUAACAAGGUUUCCGUAGGUGAACUGCGGAAGGAUCAUUACCAAAUUGUUGACACGAGUUGUUGCUGGUCCUCAAACGGGGGCAUGUGCACGCUCUGUUUACACAUCCACUCACACCUGUGCACCCUCUGUAGUUCUGUGGCCUGGGGGCUCUGUCCCCCCUGCUGUGGUCCUGCGUAUUUACACACACACACUGUAAUAAAGUCUCAUGGAAUGUAUGCCGCGUUUAACGCAAUACAAUACAACUUUCAGCAACGGAUCUCUUGGCUCUCGCAUCGAUGAAGAACGCAGCGAAAUGCGAUAAGUAAUGUGAAUUGCAGAAUUCAGUGAAUCAUCGAAUCUUUGAACGCACCUUGCGCCCUUUGGCUAUUCCGAAGGGCAUGCCUGUUUGAGUAUCAUGAACACCUCAACUCUCGUGGCUUGCCAUGAAGAGCUUGGACUAUGGGGGUCUUGCUGGCCUGUGGUCAGCUCCUCUCAAACGAAUCAGCUUGCCGGUGUUUGGUGGCGUCACAGGUGUGAUAACUAUCUACGCUUGUGGUGUUUUCCACCAGGUAACCUUCAGCAAUGGAGGUUCACUGGGGCUCAUAAAAGUCUCUCCUCGGUGAGGACAGCUCUUUGAACGUUUGAUCUCAAAUCAGGUAGGACUACCCGCUGAACUUAAGCAUAUCAAUAAGCGGAGGAAAAGAAACUAACAAGGAUUCCCCUAGUAACUGCGAGUGAAGCGGGAAGAGCUCAAAUUUAAAAUCUGACGUGCCUCUGGUCGUCCGAGUUGUAGUCUGGAGAAGCGUUUUCCGUGUUGGACCGUGUAUAAGUCUCUUGGAACAGGGCGUCAUAGAGGGUGAGAAUCCCGUCUUUGACACGGACUACCAAUGCUUUGUGAUGCGCUCUCAAAGAGUCGAGUUGUUUGGGAAUGCAGCUCAAAAUGGGUGGUAAAUUCCAUCUAAAGCUAAAUAUAGGCGAGAGACCGAUAGCGAACAAGUACCGUGAGGGAAAGAUGAAAAGAAUC